UCCUGGUUAGCUCAGUUGGUAGAGCGAUUGCCCCAGGGAAGGCAUUGGUCCCGGGUUCGAUCCCCGGACCAGGAC